AGCGUUACCCGAAAAUUGGUAACAUGAUGACCGCGCAGGCGGUUUCUUAAGUCUGAUGUGAAAGCCCACGGCUCCCCCGUGGAGGGUCAUUGGAAACUGGGAGACUUGAGUGCAGAAGAGGAAAGUGGAAUUCCAUGUGUAGCGGUGAAAUGCGUAGAGAUAUGGAGGAACACCAGUGGCGAAGGCGACUUUCUGGUCUGUAACUGACACUGAGGCGCGAAAGCGUGGGGAGCAAACAGGAUUAGAUACCCUGGUAGUCCACGCCGUAAACGAUGAGUGCUAAGUGUUAGAGGGUUUCCGCCCUUUAGUGCUGAAGUUAACGCAUUAAGCACUCCGCCUGGCGAGUACGGCCGCAAGGCUGAAACUCAAAGGAAUUGACGGGGGCCCGCCCAAGCGGUGGAGCAUGUGGUUUAAUUCGAAACAACGCGAAGAACCUUACCAGGUCUUGACAUCCUCUGACAACCCUAGAGAUAGGGCUUCUCCUUCGGGAGCAGAGUGACAGGCGGUGCAUGGUUGUCUUCAGCUCGUGUCGUGAGAUGUUGGCUUAAACCCAC
rnacentral:rRNA from 1 species